rnacentral:rRNA from 1 species
UACGUAGGGAGCAAGCGUUGUCCGGAAUCAUUGGGCGUAAAGCGCGCGUAGGCGGCCCCGUAAGUCCGCUGUGAAAGUCAAAGGCUCAACCUUUGAAAGCCGGUGGAUACUGUGGGGCUAGAGUCCGGAAGAGGCGAGUGGAAUUCCUGGUGUAGCGGUGGAAUGCGCAGAUAUCAGGAGGAACACCAAUAGCGAAGGCAGCUCGCUGGGACGGUACUGACGCUAAGGCGCGAAAGCGUGGGGAGUGAACAGG